CAAUUCUACACUCCUUGAGCCUUAGCAUAAUCAAACCAGAUAAUUAGGAAGUGUAUUUCUGAUUCUUAAAUGCUUUUGUUUAUCACAGAGAACAUCCAUCCAUUCAUUCAUUUGUUCAGCAGACAUACUGCAAUUGUACUAACUUGGAUGCUGAACAAGACAGGUACCUGACUGACUCUUCUGCCACCCACAGUGGAUUUCUUUGUGCCUUUGUGCCUGGCUGAUUGUCUCCUGCAGAAAC
rnacentral:lncRNA from 1 species